rnacentral:rRNA from 1 species
UGUAGUGGCGCGUUCUGGACCCGAAGCGGGGUGAUCUACCCAUGGCCAGGUUGAAGCACGUGUAAGAGCGUGUGGAGGACCGAACCCACCUAGGUUGAAAACUGGGGGGAUGAGCUGUGGGUAGGGGUGAAAGGCCAAUCAAACUCCGUGAUAGCUGGUUCUCCCCGAAAUGCAUUUAGGUGCAGCGUUGCGUGUUGCCCGGCGGAGGUAGAGCUACUGGGUGGCUGAUGGGCCUUACAGGGUUACUGACGUCAACCAAACUCCGAAUGCCGCCUGGGUUGUAGCGUGGCAGUGAGACUGUGGGGGAUAAGCUCCGUGGUCGAGAGGGAAACAGCCCAGAUCGCCGGCUAAGGCCCCUAAGCGUGUGCUAAGUGGGAAAGGAUGUGCGGUCGCGCAGACAACCAGGAGGUUGGCUUAGAAGCAGCCAUCCUUGAAAGAGUGCGUAAUAGCUCACUGGUCAAGUGGUCGUGCGCCGACAAUGUAGCGGGGCUCAAGCACACCGCCGAAGCCGCGGAC